rnacentral:lncRNA from 1 species
GUUGGUUUGGUUACAUCUCAGCUUGGAGCCAGGAUUAACUCCUACAAAUUUUUCUUAAGCUCCCAGAAAACAGCAGCUGCGCGCCAUUUCCAAGCUCACCAAAAUACCACCUAAUUAAUGAUGUGCUUGACGAAACAAGUCCAAAAAUCACCCACAGUUUACAUCCUAGACGAAUUUGAGAUGGCGCAACGCGAGCUCAGAUCGAUCCCACUACAGAUGCAAUAAGAGUGGUUACACAUGAGAGGAACUACAGCAACAAGAGUUAGAAAGAUUCAGUCAACUAGAGUUAGUUUGCAGGGUCGGUAGUUCUUCCUACGACAUUUCACCUUCCCGGUCACCAGCUUUGCAUCACCACCUUGUGAGGACAGAGCCUUCGGACUGCUGGAAGUCAGGCCUGCAGCAGGAUCACUGUUAGCAUCUUUCUGGCAAGGCCACUGUUAACUCCAAAUGCUAGGAAUUUGUCGCAACACUUGCAUUGAUAUGGAUUUUUUGCAUGAUAAAAAACACAACUGUAAUGACAAGAAUGGCGCUGAUGUUGGAGGGUGAGGACAAUUCGGCGAUUCAGCAUGUUGGAGAGCAAGGACAACCGUACCAAGAGGUGGUUUUUCCCUAACCAAGGACAAGAUAUGGUAGUUCCUCUCAAUAUGUUUCGCCUUCGCUCUCACCAGCUUUGCAUCGCCAUCUUCAGAAGUCACAGCUUUAGGACUGGUGGAAAUCGGGCCUGCAGCAGGUCACUGUUAACAUUUUUCUAGGAAGGCCAAUGUUAACUUCAAAUACCAGGAAUUUGUUGCAAUGUUUGCUUGAUAUGGAACGUUUGCAUGAUAAAGACACAACUGUAAUGACAAAGGGAUGUAGAAGAAAUUACUGGGGAAUGUCGCUGAUGUUGGAGAGCGAAGACAAUUCGUUGAUCCAGCAUGUGGCAGAGCGAGGACAACCGUUUCAGCUGAGUUGAUAAAGGCAGCUGAUUCUUCUGCUGGCCUGAGCGUGCGAGACCUCUUGUGGUCGGCUGUUGGCUCUUCCACAGGACUGGUAAAACAUUCACCCAUCUGUAUAAGCCUAGGACUUCUCCUAGGAGUGUCGGUAUGGUAGUUCUUAUGACAUUUUGCAUUCACACUCACUGACUUUGCGUCGCCACCUUCAGAAGUCUGAGCUUUCGGAGUGGUGGAAGUCAGGCCUACAACAGGUCAACGUUAACAUUUUUCAGGAAGGCCACUGCUAAACUUCUCAAAUACUAGAAAUUUGUUGCAGUGUUUGCUUGAUAUGGAUUGUUUGCAUGAUAAACACACAACUGUAGUGACAAAGGGGUAGAGAAGAACUUACUGAGGAGUGUCGUUGAUGUUGGAGAGCAAAAACAACUCGUUGAUCCAACAUGUGUCAUAGUGAGGACAGCCGUUUCAGCUGGGUCGGUAGAGGCAGCUGAUUCUUCUGCUGGCCCGAGCGUGUGAGACCUCUUGUGGUCGGCUGCUGGCUCUUCCACAGGACCGAUACAACAUUCACCCAUCUGUAUAAGCCUAGGACUUCUCCUAGGAGUGUCGGUAUGGUAGUUCUUCUUACGAUAUUUCCUUUUCACACUCACUGACUUGGCGGUUGCUUCCAAAGCAUGUCCGGACUCAGUAGUCUCUUGCCUUCCUUCAGUUGCUGCAACAGACACAGCAUGCACAUCUUGAGUUCCUUCACUAGCUGCAAGGAGAGGUGCUUCCUCCAUAAUCAUGGACGAUGCGGUAGCUUCCAAAGCAUGUACGGGCUCAGAAGCCUCUUGCCUUCCUUCACUAGCUGCAACAAACAUAGCCUGCCUAUCUUGACUUCCUUCACUGGCUGCAACAAACACGGCCUGCUCAUUCUGACUUCCUUCACCAGCUGCAACAAACACGGCCUGCACCCCUCGGCUUCCUUCACCAGCUAGGACAAACACAUCCUGCUUAUCAAGCGACGCUGCCCGGUGCUGAGUUGCAAUUAGAACCUCCUGAACAGUCUCGUCAUCGCUGNNNNNNNNNNGUGGGACCCCAUAGUCAGUCCGACGUGGCGGGUAUGCCCGGGAGCCCCCACAUUCGCACCAUAUUUGGGUUGGAUAUGCGGGUGUCGGUCAGCCCGCGCGUUUGAGGCCCGUUUUAGGCGUCUGCCUGGGUCAAAAUUUCGUGAUCGGGCAGUGACCGGACGGCCCGCUCGGAUGGGAUGUAUGAGGCGGGUUUGAGAGUUCCGGGUUUAGAUGCUCUAAGCCGAUUGAGAUUUUUCCUGUAUAAAAGCCGGUUAUGUGUUAAACUUUUUUAUAUAUAAAUGGCAAGGCCCCAAAUGUUAUACAAGAGUGUAUGUUACAGUCAAAAGUUUGUAGGGAGUUAAUCCUGCAUUAAUUGUUAGCUUUUCUAAUGGAGCAAAUGAUUUUUUUUUUAAUUUCCAAAUCUCUCUCUCUAUUGCCCAUCUAUAGUUUGUUAAAUACUAGAACAUCAUCUUUCAAAAAAAGAAAGGGUUAUGCGCCGUCGCAAACUAUUGCUUCCUAUCUUCCCGUUUUUGUCAGAUGCAUAUCUUCAAGCUGGCCGUGGCAUGUCUGCAAUUUUCUCUCCAUAUCUAGCAUUAGAUCGACAAAUAAUUUGAAAUUCAAGUCUUUGAAAAAUAAAACGGAGUAAAAAAAAUGUCAUGCCCCAAAAGGUUGUAUUCUGAACCGCAGCAAGAACACUUUGUCAUGCAUAACAUUACCAGCUGUGCAGGUCAGCAAGAACGCCUGUAAAUUCAUCUGCGGACAGAACUAAACUAUCGCUUCAGCCUUCAUCUACCAAAGCCACACACCUUUUUUGCAAUAUUGAUAAUCAAAAUGCAGUUGCUCUAACAAAUCUGGAUCUAUUGUUGGUUUGGUUACAUCUCAGCUUGGAGCCAGGAUUAACUCCUACAAAUUUUUCUUAAGCUCCCAGAAAACAGCAGCUGCGCGCCAUUUCCAAGCUCACCAAAAUACCACCUAAUUAAUGAUGUGCUUGACGAAACAAGUCCAAAAAUCACCCACAGUUUACAUCCUAGACGAAUUUGAGAUGGCGCAACGCGAGCUCAGAUCGAUCCCACUACAGAUGCAAUAAGAGUGGUUACACAUGAGAGGAACUACAGCAACAAGAGUUAGAAAGAUUCAGUCAACUAGAGUUAGUUUGCAGGGUCGGUAGUUCUUCCUACGACAUUUCACCUUCCCGGUCACCAGCUUUGCAUCACCACCUUGUGAG